GGGGAAUAUUGCACAAUGGGGGAAACCCUGAUGCAGCAACGCCGCGUGAAGGAAGACGGUUUUCGGAUUGUAAACUUCUAUCAAUAGGGACGAAAAAAAUGACGGUACCUAAAUAAGAAGCCCCGGCUAACUACGUGCCAGCAGCCGCGGUAAUACGUAGGGGGCAAGCGUUAUCCGGAAUUACUGGGUGUAAAGGGAGAGUAGGCGGCAUGGUAAGUUAGAUGUGAAAGCCCGGGGCUUAACCUCGGGAUUGCAUUUAAAACUAUCAAGCUAGAGUACAGGAGAGGUAAGUGGAAUUCCUAGUGUAGCGGUGAAAUGCGUAGAUAUUAGGAAGAACACCAGUGGCGAAGGCGACUUUCUGGACAAUAACUGACGCUGAGGCUCGAAAGCGUGGGGAGCAAAC
rnacentral:rRNA from 1 species